UACGGAGGGUGCAAGCGUUGAUCGGAAUUACUGGGCGUAAAGGGCGCGUAGGCGGCCAGUUGCGUCGGGUGUGAAAGCCCCGGGCUCAACCUGGGAGGUGCACUUGAUACGGGCUGGCUGGAAUCCGGGAGAGGAUGGUGGAAUUCCCAGUGUAGAGGUGAAAUUCGUAGAUAUAGGGAAGAACACCGAUGGCGAAGGCAGCCAUCUGGACCGGGACUGACGCUGAGGUGCGAAAGCGUGGGGAGCAAACAGG
rnacentral:rRNA from 1 species